ACACCCGAAGUCGGUGAGGUAACCUUUAUGGAGCCAGCCGCCGAAGGUGGGGCAGAUGAUUGGGGUGAAGUCGUAACAAGGUAGCCGUAUCGGAAGGUGCGGCUGGAUCACCUCCUUU
rnacentral:rRNA from 1 species